AAGGAUUUAAGUUAAAGUAAACUUUUAGCCUUCAAAGCUAACUAUAGGGGUUCUCUAAGCCUUA
rnacentral:tRNA from 1 species